UGUCUCUUCAUCCUGUCCCCUCCCGUCUGUGUCCGCGCCAUCAUCGCCGGCUUCUGUCUGUGUUUUGCGAUGCCUCGACGGCCCCAAAGGCCGACCAGGCAUGCAUUUUCCCUUGAGCAACAUGAGAUGAGAACGUCAUUUCAUUUGUGUUGCAGACAGAGAGACAAAAAGAACAGAAAACCAGAGGCAGCCCCCUUCCUACUUGGAGACCCACAAGUUUUAUCAGAUCCCUACUGUGUGCUGGGUACCAGGAUACAAGGAGGAAUUGUCAUCAGUGCCGAAUUGCCCAGCGUGCAGACUAGACACAUGCUUCGAAGUCCAGAAGAGCGGGGACCCGACCACAACCUCUCCCCAGGCACAUCAGAGACAACCAGACUAUUCCAAAAAGUCCUUUUUAACUUCAGCAUACACACGCUUUUACCUCUUUGAAAAAUACAACUUUAUUUUUUAUUCGAAUUUGAUUUCUUUUCAUUUCCAUUUGGGUACAGGUCCUGAGAGAGUGGGGAUUAUUAUUCAGAAAAUAUGCCUCCCCCAUUCCUGCUUUGGAUGGAAUAUACUUCUGUGCACCACGGAUGUUGGACUUGGCCGUGUGAUUUUGCUGGUUGAUAGGUCGUGAGCGAGCACGAUUCCAGCCAAGCCUUGAAGUGUGUUUGCGUGCUGGCCCAUGCUCACUCGCUCUUCCAACAUUGCCAUGAGGAGUGUGCGCCUGUGCAUCCAAGGACGAAAAGUACCUGGAGCAGACUUGCAUGUGCCCCACCAUGGCCAGCCCAGCCCAGAGCAGUUAAGUCAUCCGAACACCUACCAACUUGCAGAUGUUUGUGUGAGACUAAGUAAUUACUGUUGUAAGCCAAUGAGCUUGGGGAUGAUUUGUUACAUGGCAUGAUUACGGCAAUAGCUGAUGGAUGGAGAUCCCAUGAUCCUUCUAGAUCUUAAUCUGGCCAUGGCCAUUCCAGUACAGUUACUGAAUUGCAGAGGAUGGGGGCGGGUAGCAAAUGUAAUUUUAAAUGAUCCUUCAAAACCUUGUCUUCCUGAUUUGACUUUGUUAUGUAAAUCAAAGUCAAUUAUAGCCUUUCAGGCACUAAAUGAAAUUUGAGGACCAUAGUGCUUAAGUGAAGUAGCAUAUGGCUAUAGAAUAAAAGA